ensembl:rRNA 5S_rRNA 5S ribosomal RNA
GCUUAUGGCCAUACCACCCUGAAUGCGCCCGAUGUUGUCUGAUCUCGAAAGCUAAGCAGGGUCAGGCCUGGUUAGUACUUGGAUGGGAGACCGCCUGGGAAUACCAGGUGCUGUAUGCU